AUUGAACGCUGGCGGCAUGCCUUACACAUGCAAGUCGAACGGCAGCACGGGAGCAAUCCUGGUGGCGAGUGGCGAACGGGUGAGUAAUAUAUCGGAACGUGCCCAGACGUGGGGGAUAACGUAGCGAAAGCUACGCUAAUACCGCAUGUGAUCUGUGGAUGAAAGCGGGGGAUCGCAAGACCUCGUGCGUUUGGAGCGGCCGAUAUCAGAUUAGGUAGUUGGUGGGGUAAAAGCUUACCAAGCCUACGAUCUGUAGCUGGUCUGAGAGGACGACCAGCCACACUGGAACUGAGACACGGUCCAGACUCCUACGGGAGGCAGCAGUGGGGAAUUUUGGACAAUGGGCGCAAGCCUGAUCCAGCAAUGCCGCGUGCAGGAUGAAGGCCUUCGGGUUGUAAACUGCUUUUGUACGGAGCGAAACGGCUCUCUCUAAUACAGGGGGCUAAUGACGGUACCGUAAGAAUAAGCACCGGCUAACUACGUGCCAGCAGCCGCCGCAG
rnacentral:rRNA from 1 species